rnacentral:snRNA from 1 species
UGGCGCGAAGCUACCGUGCGCUG